rnacentral:lncRNA from 1 species
UGUUGGCCGGUUAUCUUAGUUACAUAUAAUCUCCCUCCAUGGCUGUGCAUGAAACGAAAGUUCAUGAUGUUAACCUUAUUGAUUUCCGGUCCUAAACAACCCGGAAAUGAUAUAGACGUCUACUUGGAGCCUUUGAUUGAUGAUUUAAAAUCCUUGUGGGUUGGGAUUAGAGGAGUGUAUGAUGCACAUAAUGGAGAAUACUUUACACUCAGAGCUGCAUUAAUGUGGACAAUUAAUGAUUUCCCCGCCUAUGGAAACUUAUCUGGUUGUGUUGUUAAAGGAUAUAAAGCUUGUCCAAUAUGCGGCGAUGAUACACCUAGUCACAGGUUGAAAAAUGGCCACAAAAUUUGUUACAUUGGGCAUAGAAAAUGGUUACCAAUCAAUCAUCCAUAUAGGAGGCAACGUGCAGCUUUUAAUGGGAAACCUGAAUAUGGCAUACCUCCAGAGCCAUUAACCGGAGAAGAAGUGCUGCAUAUGGUUGAAAAUGGUGACAGAGUUUGUUGGAAGAAGAAAUCAAUAUUCUUUGAUCUCGAGUAUUGGAAAUACCUUCCUGUGAGGCAUGCCCUAGAUGUUAUGCACAUUGAGAAGAAUGUUUGCGAUAGUAUCAUUGGUACAUUGCUGGAGAUCCCUGGAAAAAAUAAAGAUGGGAUUGCUGCUCGAUUAGAUUUAUUAAACAUGGGGGUCAAAACUGAUUUGCAACCCGAGUAUGGAGAAAGACGUACUCGUUUGCCUCCUGGGCCUUGGAAUUUGUCAAGAGCAGAGAAGAGAGAGGUUUGCAAUUCUUUCUAUGGUAUGAAGGUCCCUGAAGGUUAUUCUUCAAAUAUUAAAAAUCUUGUAUCUGUACAAGAUUCAAGACUUCUUGGCCUUAAAUCACAUGAUUGUCAUACCUUAAUGCAACAAUUGCUCCCUGUGGCAAUUCGUUCUGUUUUGGAGAAGCCUGCAAGGUAUGCAAUAACUCGUUUGUGCUUCUUCUUCAAUGCUAUAUGUGCAAAGACUGUUGAUGUUUCCAAGCUAGAUAAGUUGGAAGAAGAUGUAGUAGUUACUCUGUGUUUGCUUGAGAAGUACUUUCCCCCUUCAUUCUUUGAUAUCAUGGUUCAUCUAGUAGUACAUCUUGUCAGAGAAGUUCGUCUAUGUGGGCCAGUAUAUUUUAGGUGGAUGUAUCCGUUUGAAAGAUAUAUGAAAGUGCUGAAGGGGUAUGUUCAGAAUCGUACUCGUCCCGAAGGUUGCAUUGCUGAGCGGUAUAUAGCUGAAGAAGCGGUAGAGUUUUGUACUCAGCAUUUAUCUGAUGUUAGUACAGUUGGAGUGCCUUCAAGCCAAAAGAUGGGAGUUUCAAAGCCAUUAUCAGGUUGCACAGUGAGCGUAGUUGAUCAGGACCUGUUGAAUCAAGCACAUCUAUAUGUCUUGGAGAAUACGGAGGAAGUCCUACCUUAUAUCGAGUACGUAUGAGUUUUAUUCUUUAAGUUUCCAUUUAAAAUUAUUUCUUAUGUUUAUCUUAUAUAUUUGGGACCGUAAUGCUUGAAUUUUUCGUGUCAUGUAGGCAACAUAUGAUCCACAUCAAGACUGCUUAUCCAAAAUUUAGAAAGAGAACAAAGUGGCUGCAGGAUAAGCACAAUAGCACUUUCAUUCAAUGGCUACGCUUCAAGGUAUAUGUUGUUGAAUAACGUAUUUCUCUUUUAAUUUUCUUCUUAUUUAUAUGUUAGGAUGAAUUAAGAUAUGAUUAAUUUGCAGGUUCAAAGUGAAGUUGAGGAAGACAAUCAUGGCGUAUCAGAAAAUUUAAGGUGGCUAGCAGCUGGUCCAAACAUGUCAGUGCCAUUAUAUAGGAGCUAUCUUAUUAAAGGUAUUAAAUUCAAUAUCAAGGCACAAGAUGAUGUGCGGACAACUCAAAAUAGUGGAGUUUAUUUACUUGCACAUACCAUGCAAGUUGCUAGUGCCAAGGAUAAAAACCCAAUUCUCUCAAAUAUGGGUUUCUAUGGUGUCAUUCAAGAAAUUUGGGACCUUGACUACCAAAAGUUUACAAUCCCAGUCUUUAGGUGUGAUUGGAUAGAUAGUUCUGGUCUUGUAGUCGACGAACUUGGAUUUACCCUUGUAGAUUUGAGUAAAAUUGGACAUAGGAAUGACCAAUUUGUUUUGGCUUCUCAAGUCAAACAAAUAUUUUUUGUUGACGACCCGAUGCAUCGUGGUUGGUCGGUAGUGUUAUCAAUGCCUAGUAGAGAAUAUAAUGAUGUUAUUGGUGAUGAAGUAUUAGGUGAUGUGAUAAUUGAGUGUGAGUCAUUUACUAGAGGGAUGCCAAAUGUUGACACAUUUGAUGAACUGGUAGGUGAGUUAGGCGGUCAAAAUAUUCGAGAUGGGUGUGAAGAUAUAUGGAUUGAAUGAUGCUUAUGUAAUUGGCAGUGUAUGACAUUAAUUUUGUAAUAUAUUGUAAUGUGAUUUCUUCACUUUCUACGUUCAAAUAAAACACGACGUUAUUGUGAAUCAGUUAUUCAGCAUAUUUACCGACGUCUUAAAGCAACGUAACAAUGAAGAACCACGACGCUAUUGUGAAGCAAUUAUUCAGGAUAUCACGUCGGUGAAGGAUAAAGAACCGCCAUGUAAUUCAAAAUAACACGACUCCAAUCCCAUAAUACCGACGUCUAAAAAACGAGAUAUAUAAUCUGAACGUUAAAAAAUACGACGUCAUCAUACAUUUUCCACGUCGCAAGUUCUUUUAUAAACGAAGAGGAACGAAAUUAAUUCCGACGGAAAUUCAUUAUAACCGCCGUCUAAUAACAAUUAAACGACGUUAUUUGUAAUACGGCUCCCAUCAUAAUCUACGCCGUCUAUAUGUUCUGUAAUACGGCUCUCAUUUAUUUGGAACCGACGUUGUUUAGACGUUCAACGUCGUCUAUAUUAUUAAGUGCGUCGUGAGUAAUGAAUACAUAUAAAUACAACGUCGACUAUAUAAAUGUAUACGUCGUAAAUAAUGACACUGACAACUAUUUCCACGUCAUCUUUUUUAGAAAAAUCGAAGUGGAAAAUUUAUUUCACGACGGUUUUUUGUAAAUAAGAGACGUUGUAGAACUUUAGCAGACUAAACACGUCUGUUUUUAUUGUUUUCCGACGUUGUUGUAUUUAACAACGUCUAAUAUUUAUGGUCGUUGUUUGUUUCUGAAAAUAGGACGUAUAAAUUUUUUAAUACGACUCUCAUAUAUUUGUAACUGACGUUGUUUAGUUUUUCAACGUCUACUAUAGAAACACAUACGUCGUAAAUAAUGACACUGACAACUAUUUCCACGUCAUCUUUUAUCGAAAAAUCGAAGUGGAAAAUUAAUUGUACGACGGUUGUGUUUAUAUGUGCGACGUAGUAGGUAUCAAUAACGUCGUCUUCUAAUGUAUUUAAAGACGUCAUAUUUUUUAUUGUCGUGAAAAUUAUAUUUAACGUCGGCGUAUUUUUAUUGUCGUCGUUGUAUGUCUAUCUUGCGGCCUUGUUCUCUUAAUAUGUGUCAUAUUUUCCCUUUUUAACGACGGUCUUUUUAGAGAAUUGGUCGUCUAUUAUCAUCCUCGAUUGCUUUUUUUAGAUCUUUUUGCAGUACAAAGACGUCGUUUUGUAUUUUUUGAUGACGUUGUAUUGUUUAACAACGACGGUUAUUUAGCGUCGUGGUUUAUGAGGGAAAAGAUGACGGUGGAUUCCACGACCAUUGAAAAACCAAAUACACGACGGUGAUUUACCGUCGUCUUUUUGCUUUUUUGUAGUAGUGACUCUCUACACGACUUUCCCAACGUGUAAUUGACAAUGUUUUGAGAGUUAAACCAUCUACAUGAUCUUGUAAAAUCUUUCAACGCUUUGUAGAAUUAGCAAAAACACAAUAAAUGCGUUGAACCACCCCAAAAAAGGAUUUCACUUUCACACAACAGUUUGCCAUAUCACAUAGUGUUAAAUUAAGAGAAUGACAACCACAUGGCAUGAACAAAGCUCUAGGAUUUAUUUCAAGUAAUCUUCUUUGUACACCUUAGUGGUUUCCUUCCAUAUUAGAGCCAUUAUCAUAACCCUGUCCUCUAACAUCAUCAAUUUUAAGACCAAGGGACUCUAGGACAGAUUGCAAUUCAUUAAAAAGUCCUAAUCCUGAUGUAUCUUUCACAAUUAAAAACUCUAAAAAGUACUCUUAUAUUUUCACUAGACUCCUUGACACAUCCAUACACCGUAUUGUCAAAGUCAUUUGUUCCUUGUGACUUGAAUCAGGAGUGCAAUAAAGUAUCACUGAAAAAUAUUUUCCUUGUUUGAUUUUCUCAAUUAUUGCACUUCUGACUUUUGAAGCCAGCAAGGCUAUCAGCUUAUUUCGAAUCUUAUGGCUUAGAUAGUGAUAGUGAAUCUCAUCAUUUUAAAUUUGUCGAAAAUAUUCUCGCAUUAUUAGAUCAAAUUCUGCAACCAUUUCCAAUAUACCUAAAAAAUUACCAUUAUUUUCUUCAUAAAUUCUCUCUUUUGUUCCACCGAAUGCAAUAUUAUUUUUAGCAAGACAUUUGACAACAGAAAUUAUUCUUACCAAAACAUGUUUCCAGUGUCCUUCUCUCUCCUAAUUUGUUCUUGUAUGCCUUUAUCAAUUGUUUUUUUUUUAAAUCUAUUAUGUAAUUCAAUCCAAGAACUCAUGUUAGUUAUGUGUUCAAUGUUGUUUUCAUGUUGUUUAAGCCUCUCACUAAGAUGUUUCCAAUAUCUAAGUCCUUCGUUUGCUAAUUGGCUUCUACAAUACAUUGUCUUAAACAAUUUACAGCAAAAACAAAAUACCUUAUCCAAUUCCUUUGAGUAUACUAGCCAUUUUCUGUCAUGAGUCACUCCAUUUGGUAACUUUCUCAUGUGAUAAUUGGUGAAAAAUGUCUAAAGUUUUCAUCCCUGGGAAAUUUGAUAUUAUUAUCUCUUGCAGGACAUUUUUCCACAAGUAAAGCUCUCAUUUUUUCAUCUAGAUGAUCCCAAAUUCUAGGAUAAAAAAUGUUUAAAGGAAAACUUGGUUUUACACCCUCAGGUUCAGUGUCUUCAUUAUUACAAAGAUGAUUAAAAUCUUCAUUCUUAACAUGUUCAUCUUCACCUAAGUCACCUACUGUGCAUUAAAAUCAUUCUCAGUUCCUACUAAUUCUUCCACGUCAUUUUGUUGUUCAGAUUCAUUGACUAAAUCAUUAUCAAUUCCUUCAAAUUCUUCAACAUGAUUUUGCUGCUCAGAUUCAUCGACUAAAUCUUCAAUUGAGUUAUCAAGUGAACUAUUUGUUUUGUUUUGAAAAAAUUUAUCCAAAGCUCCCUUUUGAGAUUGAGUUAAUUCUUCUCUCUGUCUUUUUCUUUUUCUUUUUUGACUUCCAGAUGAGUGUUUCUUAGGGAACAUUGUUACUUGAAAACAGAAACAAUACAAGGAAAGCCAAUGCAAUUUUAAUACUGCAAAGAAUAAACAAAGAACAACAUAACCUGGAAUUUGAGAAAUCCCCCUCCACAGAAACAAACUUGAUAUUUCCAACUUUGCAAUCAAUUAGAGCUUAAAAGAAUUCCUGCAAAGAGAAUGUGUAACUACAUGAGUUCACAAAUCUACAAACAAACAAAAAAAAUCAUAUUUCCCUUUUCAGUUGAUAUCAAGUCAUAAAAAAUUACAUUCAAUUGACUUCUACAAGGACCAAUUUUGCACUGAAUAAAAGCCCACACUUUGGAUUUUGGAAUCUCCCCAAAUAAUUUUAACCUGUAACUAAAAGAAGAGGAUUCACAAGGACCAACUUUGUUUGUACCAUAUCUGACCCUCCACUCACAUCAUGACACGUGGAAUGUGAAAGAGGUUAAGACUAACCCUGUGAGGCCAGACCGAAUAAGCCAAAUUGACAUGAAUCGGCACACACCACCGAUUCAUGCAUACCUUUCAAUCGGCACAUUCUCCUAAACGAAGACUUGAAUAGAGACCUUCAGUACCCCGUACCGAAGGACCUUGAAGGCGCGAUCAGCAUGCUCGACCGAUCCUACAAGACAACCUCGGAACUUCCGCCAAGGCUUGUCGGGACGCGUGUCGAUUGCUAAAGACACUCCUCCCACAAGUCCCACAUCGAAACUAAGCACUAAAAGAUCACCCAAUGCCCUCUAUAAAUAAAGCCCAUUGGCCACAGCCAAAAGGGUAAGACUGUUUACUUGACUUGAGACUGUUUACUUGACUUGAGCUUUCACACUGUCAAUAAAUUGCUCUUAGUCACUAACUUUGGCAUCGGACGGCACCACACCGGUGCUUUAAACCUCACCUGUCGUUUCUUCCCACAGGCCGAAUCCAACAUCGCGCCUCGCAAAAGGACGCCACGGACCAAAGGCUCUUCGUGUCCAAACCGUCCACAUCACCUGUAAGUUAGCCUUAUCUCUAUCUGUUUAAUUUAAGCGCAAACAAACUUAGAUGGAGGCUUAGGAUUUUGGAUUCACGAAUCCCAAGGACCAACUUAGAUGCUUAGGAGAGGAUUCAAAACUCUGUAAAAGAAGAGAAAGAAAAAGAAGAAGAAGAAGUAAAAGUGACCUGGAUGAGUAGAGUGGAACAGGAACAGGUGCUCUUCUUCUUGAGAAGCGGGACAGACCAGAUCAUUGGUCUAUUUUUUUUUUUCAAAAUAUUAAAUCAGUUAAUAGUUAUAAUAAUAUAAUAUAAUACUUACUGUAAAAAAAAAUUUGGUCUAGGGUGGUUGAUGGACAUAUUUUAUAUUAUAUAUUUAACCUCAUUCUUAGUAUAUUUUGGUUAAUAUUUUGGAAGAAUUUUGAUACUUUGAAUUAUAUUUCCAAUAUAGGACUUUCGACUCUCUCUAGAGCAAAACAUAAUCAAAUUGAGGAAUUUUGGAGUAAUUCUAGUUGGAGGACGUUCUUGAGUCACUUAGCUUGAUCGUACCAAAAUUUCAGAUUUUUCUUCCAAGCGGUUAUUUUCUGGCAACAAAAUAAAGGAGCAGUGCGCGGCGCUGGAAUAGUGACGUAUUGGGCUUUUAUUGCGUUUUUGGAGCCCAAGAUGACCUCGGAUGGAUUCGUGGCUUUCUAGAGAAGUGUUCAGAACAUUUUAAUCUUUAAAACAAGCUAUCUUGGGCCAGAUUUGGAGGAGAUUUGGGGCCAAAACGUGGCUGGGCAGAUUUUGGGCAGAUUCUCCUAUUCCAAUUUGAACUUUAUUUCCUAGUAUUAUUUUAUUUAAUUAGUUUCCUUGUGGGGAUAGAAAAGCUGUACAUUGGCAGCUAGGUUUUAAGGGGUAUUUAAGCUCUUUCUCACAAGGAAUUGAGGACUCCCUUUUUCACUUUUGAACUUUGUAUUGUGGAGAGCAAUUGCUAGGGUUUUGGGUUUUCACAACUUUCAGGUGUUUUCGUUCUUUUCUUCUUAAUGAUAUUUUCUUGGAUUUCAAUUAUGAGUAUGCGUAACUAAAUUUCUUUUGCUAGGGUUAAGCCUUGAACCUUAGCAUGAAUAUGUGAUUUUUAUUUAAUUGCUUAUGAUGAGUGCAUGCCUACUUGAAUUGUUAAUCACUGUUUUAAACUAUCUAAUUGUCUUAAUGCCUGAUCACCAUUAGGAUCUUUAGAAAAGUAAUUAGAUGCAAUUUUGGUCGGAAGGUUCCCUGAAAUUGAUGCUAGCUUCUUGUGAUUAAUAAUUGUAAUUUCACUUAAGAUGUACACCACGUCUUAAGGGUUGCAUGGUUUUUCAAAGGGUUUUCACAAAACUUAAUGAGUCUUUCAUGUUCAGAUUUGAUCCAAACGUCCGGAUGGGUUGCAUAUUAGAUAUACAUUCUGUGUUGGAGGUUCCAAGUAGAAUAUACAUUAGGAAAACCUAACCUUCAAAUUGGCAUGUGCAAAUCAUAAGCAAUUGGUAAAAGUUCAUAGGAUUGCUAGGUGAUGGUGAAACCAUAGUACUUUUAUAAAUUGAUAUUCAAAACUAUUUCCUUCAAUUGUAUUUGUUUUUAGAAUCAACCAAAUUCAUAAUCAUCUUUCUUGACCUUUUAUUAUAAGUAGUUAUUUGGAAUUUGUUUUUACAUAAAUUGCUAAUUAGUCCUUGAGGAAAACGACCUUGCAUGAGCAUCUAUACUACAAUAGCCUUGUAUUCUUGCAAGUAUUUUAUGUGAUUUUAACUCUGUUUGCACAAGUACUAAAAAUCCUAUCAAGAAAUUGGCGCCACUGCCGGGGACUAUUUUAGACAAUUUUUGUUUAACCUUUUUCUGAUUUAUUUUAUUUUAUUUUAUUUUUAAUUUUCGUCCAAAAAAAAAAUUGAAAUUGAACAAUUUUGUUUCUGUUGCAGAUUUUGCAGACUGCAUGGUCCAAACCAGAUCAGGAACUGCACAGAUUGUACAAUUUGAUCCAGAACUAGAGCACACACUUCAUAGACAGCGGAGAGAAGUUACUUGGGCUUGGGACUGUUCACUGCAGGGCACUUUUCUGCAGAAUCUGUUUGCAAACGAGAGUAACAUGGCGUUAGAAUUACCUGCGGCAGGUAGACCACUCAGCGAGUCAUUGGAAGCCCGUGCCACUGAUGUUCCCAAUUGCAUUGUGUAUCCUGAACAAGAAGAGGGUGAUUCGUUCGAGAUCAGGCACCAUAUGCUUGAAAUUCUACCUACUUUCGGGGGUUGCCUAAUGAAGAUGCAAACAUACAUAUUGCAAAAUUUAUUGUGGGUUGCAAGAAUAUUUUGAUUAGGGGUUUUUCUGCUGAGGCUAUUAAGUUACGUCUUUUCCCUUUCACUUUGAAGGACAAGGCAGAAACUUGGUUAUUCACUCUACCAGCUAAUAGCAUUACUACUUGGCAGCAGUUACACACAAAAUUCCUGAACAAAUAUUAUCCAGCAUCCAAGACAUUGAAUUACAAGAGGGAGAUUUUGACAUUCACACAGAAGCCCAAUGAAGAGUUUCAUGAAGCGUGGGAGAGAUAUACAGAGAUGUACAUAAAGUGUCCACAUGUUAAAAUUGAUUCAGAUACACAAAUGAAUAUUUUCUUUGAUGGGCUUAAUCCUAUAUCUAAGAGCCAUGUGAAUGCAUCAGCUGGAGGAUCAUUAUCAAAUAAAUCUGCAAGAGAGGCAUUUGAACUGUUUGAUAUGAUGGCUACAGAAUCUCAGCAAUGGGCAGCAGAACAUUCACAGAAAAGGGGCAUUUUUGAGUUAUCAGUAGGUUCUCCCAACAUGUCUGCACAAAUGGAAAAAAUGGAUAAGAAAAUUGAUGCAAAGUUUGAUAUGCUUCUACAACAUAUAGCAAGUUCUACACAGCAGCCACCUACAUCAACAGUUUGCACUAUAUGUAGUAUGGCUACACAUGACAUAAUGGGCUGCCCACAUAGAGACUCUUACCCAGAGCUUGUUGAAAAACAUGUCAAUAUGAUGAACAGCUAUCAAAGGCCUAGGAAUGAUGCAUAUGCAACUCAUUACAAUCCUGGAUGGAGGGAUCACCCUAAUUUCAAAUGGGGUGACAAUCAGACUAAUGCCAAACCAUUCCAGCAUGCACUAUUGGAAAACGACCUUGCAUGAGCAUCUAUACUACAAUAGCCUUGUAUUUUUGCAAGUAUUUUAUGUGAUUUUAACUCUGUUUGCACAAGUACUAAAAAUCCUAUCAGUGGGGUCACACUGAUUGCCCCUAUUCAGGGCCGGGCCUGCCACCAAAUGAAAAUCAAGUAAGGCACUGCUCUUUUUCUUUUCCCAUAAUCAAUCACCAGACUAACCAUCCUCCGAAAAAUUUGUUUCAUAAAAAAUAAUUUUACUUGCAUCCUGAGUUCGAAAACGUUGUUUUACUUAGUACAUAUCCUUAUUUCUUUUUGUUUUGUCGACAAUAUCUCUCGUGGUCCCAACUAUAUGCACGUACUUAUUUCAUCGAAUAGGACAGAAGUGGUGCAGUGUGGAUCAGUUUCACCCCCAACCCAAAGGUGAAAGUGAAAAUCAUCUACCUAGCAUAAUUAUUACAAAUUCAUUGCUUAUAUAUAGAGCUGCAACUACAGCUAGGUGCUUGCCAUGCUUUCUGGUCAUGUGGUGCUCUCUGUAACACAUAGUAGGCCUUACAUGCAGCCAAUUUCAUUCCAACGCGUCUUGAGCACUACGUACUGGGAGAGAUUUAGGAUUGCGAGCCCAAGUAAUUCAAGUCCAACACAUGAAUGGAGUACUUUUAUAUAUACCUACCUGGGCUUAAGCCCACCUAAACCAAAGGUCGUAACAACUGGCGUCCAUAGCCCUCAGCCCAUCCCUUAUUUUUUUAUUUUCUUCAAAAUAAAAAAAAAAUAAAAAAGUUUCGUCCCUCAUUUCGUUAUCUUUUUGUUUUCCCCAUAUGAACAGCAAAGCCCCUGGCAGUAUAUAAACCAAACCAAACCAAACCAAAGUAUUAGGUACCAGAGCAUGUGAUAGUCUCUCUGCCAAAUUCCACCAAACCAACAUCUAUCAGUAGUUAUUAAAUACACUCCUUUCUGCUCCCUACUUUUCCAUGGCGGGUCUUCAAUACAACUUCUUUCCCACUGAUUUCUUUUACCCUCGCACCGCUCCACAGGCCGCCAACAAACCAGUUGUUCUUCCCCUCCAGACCACCAAACUAGAUCAUGUAGCCGCCAGCGAUCUCGAGCAGCUCAAAGCUUUGGCCAUUCAACGCCGCGGAGUUCAAGCCGUCCAGGUUGCCAAAUCUCCCCCGAUGCAUGGUUGAAUAAUAUGCAAGAAUUUGAUGAAGAUCGACGCAAUGAACUUUGGGGUAUUAUUAUUACGGCGUUCUUUUUCUAUUCCCUUUUUAUAGUUUAAUUUCUCCAUGUAACAAGAUGGUGGGUGUUCUAUUGUAUUAGCAUCAUCCAGAAUAUGUGGUUUUUAUGAUUAGAUUAUUAUGAAUAUAUUUAGCAGAUAUGGUGAUGCAAUUUCUGCAACUUAAUGUUUAAAGAAAAUCGUUUGUUCCUCAAAAUGAAAAAAAUGAAAAAAAUUUUAAAAUAAGUUAUCAAAAUGAAGUUUGCUUCUGUAUACCUUUUUUUUUAACCUAUUCAUCACUGUACACAACUCAAAUGUAAGAUCUUUUGCUCCUGCAGACUCACUCAUCUAGCAACCACGUCUUUGAGCCCAAAAGAAUAAUUGCAGCCAAAUGGUUGAUUGACUAUUCAGUUCACUUUUUGUGCUUACUAUUUUUUGAGAAUGGCUCCAAUAAUUAUGGACGAUAUAUUAGAUGUUUAGAUAGAUUUAAUAUGCAAUAUACAUGUAAUUCAACGAUCGAGAUUAAAAAAUACGUAACCAAUCUUUGACAUAAAAUAUUUAUUAGAGAAACCCAAACAAAGAAACCCC